rnacentral:rRNA from 1 species
UACGUAGGCAGCGAGCGUUGUUCGGAGUUACUGGGCGUAAAGAGUGCGUAGGCGGUGGCCCAAGUCUGGUGUGAAAUCUCCCGGCUCAACCGGGAGGGUGCGCCGGAAACUGGGUUGCUUGAGUACUGGAGAGGCAAGCGGAAUUCCUGGUGUAGCGGUGAAAUGCGUAGAUAUCAAGAGGAACACCUGCGGCGAAGGCGGGUUGCUGGGCCGACACUGACGCUGAGGCGCGAAAGCUAGGGGAGCGAACGGG